rnacentral:rRNA from 1 species
CGGGUGAGUAACACGUAUGCAACCUGCCUGCCACAGCCGGAUAAUCGGGAAAAAUUCCGUCUAAUACGGCAUAAUGCAUCGACGGGACAUCCUGUUGGUGCCAAAGGUUGAUUCCGGUGGCGGAUGGGCAUGCGUCGCAUUAGUUAGUUGGCGGUGUAACGGACCACCAAGACGACGAUGCGUAGGGGUUCUGAGAGGAAGGUCCCCCACACUGGUACUGAGACACGGACCAGACUCCUACGGAAGGCAGCAG